rnacentral:misc_RNA from 1 species
AAUAAUUGGUUCAGCCCCAUGUUCCUGCACCCAAGCAUGAAUCUUGGGCAAGAACUUGUUCUUUUUUCUCUGGUAAUCCUUCUCAUUCAUGUUAACCAGGUAAACAACAGGCUUGGCAGUUAGCAACUGAAACGUAUUCAAUAUCUCAAUAUCAGCAGCCUUCCAGUCUCCUAGGCGAACAUCUUUACCCCCCUCAAGCCAUGCCUUAACCCUUUCACACAACUCGUGCUCUAUUUUUAAA